AUGAAUUAUCAGGCCAGCACUAAUAAGAAGGUGCAACAUGAAAGUCAGCUCUCUGCCAAGAAGGACGACAAACUCUUCUUUAACGAUGAGGACAAAGAAAUACUUUAUCAGAUUAAAAGCCUAGCGGCUCUGGAAAGAAUCAUUGAAAAUCUCCGGAAAUCUUUAGGGAGUUCGCUCAUGAAAAGAAGAAAGAAGUAUAAACAUUUGUUCAGGGGAGACAAAUACCGCGAGCGGAGAGCCUAGACUGAGAACCCAGGACCACUCGAGGGACUGCCCACUCACCCCCACCACUAGGAAGACAGACAGAGAAGAGUUACUAACCAUUCUGUAUAAAGAAGAACCGUAUUAUUCAAGGAGUGCCAAAUAAAAUGAACCUAUUUAAAUAUUAAGUUAGAGGCAAUGUGGUUCUUUUCCCUUAAACAAAAAAAGGAAUGAAAAUCUAAUUGAGCCUGAAAAAUAGGAAUGUCCAAAGCUCCUACUGCCUACCAGGAGGAGCUUUGGAAAAAAACGUAACCUCAGAGACUGUGCCACCGUCAGGCUUCUCCAGAGGAGCAGAACCUACAAGACGGGAGUAGAAAGUAGAAAGAUCGGAAAAUAAUCAAGAGG